rnacentral:rRNA from 1 species
GUGCCAGCCGCCGCGGUAAUACGUAGGAUCCGAGCGUUGUCCGGAAUUACUGGGUGUAAAGGGCGUGUAGGUGGGUCUCUAAGUCGGUGGUGAAAUCCUGCAGCUUAACUGUAGAAUUGCCGUCGAUACUGGAGGUCUUGAGUGCGGCAGAGGGAGAUGGAAUUCCUGGUGUAGCGGUGAAAUGCGCAGAUAUCAGGAGGAACACCAAUGGCGAAGGCAGCACUCUGGGCCGGUACUGACGCUGAGGAGCGAAAGCGUGGGUAGCAAACAGGAUUAGAUACCCUGGUAGUCCACGCCGUAAACGUUGGGCACUAGGUGUGGGGUCUUAUCAACGGAUUCCGUGCCGAAGUUAACACAUUAAGUGCCCUGCCUGGGGAGUACGGCCGCAAGGUUAAAACUCAAAGGAAUUGACGG